GACAGAGGGUGCAAACGUUGUUCGGAAUUACUGGGCGUAAAGCGUGUGUAGGCGGCCCCGCAAGUCGGGUGUGAAAGCCCCGGGCUCAACCUGGGAAUUGCAUUCGAGACUGCAUAGCUAGGGUGCGGAAGAGGGAAGCGGAAUUUCCGGUGUAGCGGUGAAAUGCGUAGAUAUCGGAAGGAACACCAGUGGCGAAAGCGGCUUCCUGGUCCAGCACCGACGUCAGGCACGAAAGCGUGGGGAGCAAACAGG
rnacentral:rRNA from 1 species